rnacentral:rRNA from 1 species
GCCCAGAUUCUUACGGGAGGCAGCAGUGGGGAAUAUUGCACAAUGGGCGGAAGCCUGAUGCAGCAACGCCGCGUGAGGGAUGACGGCCUUCGGGUUGUAAACCUCUUUUAGCAGGGAAGAAGCGAGAGUGACGGUACCUGCAGAAAAAGCGCCGGCUAACUACGUGCCAGCAGCCGCGGUAAUACGUAGGGCGCAAGCGUUAUCCGGAAUUAUUGGGCGUAAAGAGCUCGUAGGCGGUUUGUCGCGUCUGCUGUGAAAUCCCGAGGCUCAACCUCGGGCCUGCAGUGGGUACGGGCAGACUAGAGUGCGGUAGGGGAGAUUGGAAUUCCUGGUGUAGCGGUGGAAUGCGCAGAUAUCAGGAGGAACACCGAUGGCGAAGGCAGAUCUCUGGGCCGUAACUGACGCUGAGGAGCGAAAGGGUGGGGAGCAAACAGGCUUAGAUACCCUGGUAGUCCACCCCGUAAACGUUGGGAACUAGUUGUGGGGUCCAUUCCACGGAUUCCGUGACGCAGCUAACGCAUUAAGUUCCCCGCCUGGGGAGUACGGCCGCAAGGCUAAAACUCAAAGGAAUUGACGGGGACCCGCACAAGCGGCGGAGCAUGCGGAUUAAUUCGAUGCAACGCGAAGAACCUUACCAACGCUUGACAUAUACGAGAACGGGCCAGAAAUGGUCAACUCUUUGGACACUCGUAAACAGGUGGUGCAUGGUUGUCGUCAGCUCGUGUCGUGAGAUGUUGGGUUAAGUCCCGCAACGAGCGCAACCCUCGUUCUAUGUUGCCAGCACGUAAUGGUGGGAACUCAUGGGAUACUGCCGGGGUCAACUCGGAGGAAGGUGGGGAUGACGUCAAAUCAUCAUGCCCCUUAUGUCUUGGGCUUCACGCAUGCUACAAUGGCCGGUACAAUGGGCAGCGAUACCGUGAGGUGGAGCGAUACCCAAAAAGCCGGUCCCAGUUCGGAUUG